rnacentral:rRNA from 1 species
AACGAACGCUGGCGGCAUGCCCAACACAUGCAAGUCGAACGCCCCUUCGGGGGAGUGGCAGACGGGUGAGUAACGCGUGGGAAUAUACCCAGUUCUGCGGAACAACAGUUGGAAACGACUGCUAAUACCGCAUACGCCCUACGGGGGAAAGAUUUAUCGGAAUUGGAUGAGCCCGCGUAAGAUUAGCUAGUUGGUGAGGUAAUGGCUCACAAAGGCGACGAUCUUUAGCUGGUCUGAGAGGAUGAUCAGCCACACUGGGACUGAGACACGGCCCAGACUCCUACGGGAGGCAGCAGUGGGGAAUAUUGGACAAUGGGCGCAAGCCUGAUCCAGCCAUGCCGCGUGAGUGAUGAAGGCCUUAGGGUUGUAAAGCUCUUUCAGUAGGGAAGAUAAUGACGGUACCUACAGAAGAAGCCCCGGCUAACUUCGUGCCAGCCGCCGCAGUAAAAC